CCUGGAGCCCGGUGAGGCCUUCACCGUCCGCAACAUCGCCAACAUGGUCCCGUCCUACUGCAAGGUAUGCCACCCGCAUAUAUAUAGCUUUACCGUUUUGGCCGGUCGCCUAGGUGCAUUAUUGACGUAUUUUGUUUCGGCUUUUGUCGACUGCAGAACAAGUACGCCGGUGUUGGGUCGGCCAUCGAGUACGCCGUGUGUGCCCUCAAGGUCAACCCUCUCUCCAGUGCUGUCACUUCAGAUAUGCUAGUACAUUAGUACUACUACUGUGAUAAUAAUGCAUUAUUGCACCAGUGAACAUAUCAUAUUGGACCCAGAUCUGGUGCCAAAUGGAGUUAGAAAAAUAAUGUACGUCCUAACUGUUGUAGCAUGCAUUGACUUUGGCAGGUUGAGGUCAUCGUGGUGAUUGGCCACAGCCGCUGCGGUGGAAUCAAGGCACUCCUCUCGCUCAAGGAUGGUGCAGAUGACAGCUUGUAAGUAUAGUAAAACACCUCAAAUCCCCACAGGGCGGUGAAUUACAGUAGUACAAAGCUUCUGUUGCUCUGUUAAUUCUGACUCGAGCUCUCCGGCCGUCUGUUUGAUCGUUCAGCCACUUCGUCGAGGACUGGGUCAGGAUCGGGUUCCCGGCCAAGAAGAAGGUGCAGACCGAGUGCGCCUCCAUGCCUUUCGAUGACCAAUGCGCCGUCUUGGAAAAGGUUCGUACGACCACAUGAUACUUUGUGAUGACUUGGCCACUGCUGGAAUACUCGAACUAUAUAUUCUGCUGACUUGCUGUGCUGACGAAGAAAAUAUUCUGGGAUUUCUACAGGAGGCCGUGAACGUGUCCCUCGAGAACCUCAAGACCUACCCGUUCGUCAAGGAAGGCGUCGCCAACGGAACCCUCAAGCUCGUGGGCGGCCACUACGACUUCGUCUCCGGCAAGUUCGACACAUGGGAGCUCUAAGUCCUCUCAUCCGGUUAACUCCUAUACAUACAACGUAUACUUAUACAUACAGAUAUGGAGAUGACCCUACAGAUCGAUCCAUUGAUGUGGAUGCGAUGCCAUGGAGUAUAUGUACUCGCUAUUUUCCAGUACUGCAU
rnacentral:lncRNA from 1 species